rnacentral:lncRNA from 10 species
ACUUCUUUCAGUUCCUCAAAUUAACAGAGCUUUGCCCUCCUCCACAAAUGCUGUUUUCUCUGCUGGGGCCUCCUGUCCCUUAAGCCACCUCCAUGGACUGGCUCCUUCUUCUUUCUGCCCCCCAUUGCACUUUUAUUUAACUUGGUCUCAAGUCAGUGUACAGGUAAGCCCUGGCUGCCUCCACCCACUCCCAGGGAGACCAAAAGCCUUCAUACAUCUCAAGUUAGGGGACAAAAAAGGCGGGGCGUGAAGGCUGAUCAUUCAAAAUAAAACAAAAUAAAAAAAUAUUAAGGCGAAGAUUUAAAAAAUUUUGCAUUACAUAAUUUACAUGAAAGCAAUGCUAUGAUCUCCCCUGUGUGGACUAGGGAAAGGACCGGGCCAUUCUCCUUAGAGAGAAGUGGGGUGGCUUUUAGGAGGGCAAGGGGCUUCCUGUAACAAUG